rnacentral:rRNA from 1 species
UACGUAGGUUCCGAGCGUUGUCCGGAUUUAUUGGGCGUAAAGCGAGCGCAGGUGGUUUAUUAAGUCUGGUGUAAAAGGCAGUGGCUCAACCAUUGUAUGCAUUGGAAACUGGUAGACUUGAGUGCAGGAGAGGAGAGUGGAAUUCCAUGUGUAGCGGUGAAAUGCGUAGAUAUAUGGAGGAACACCGGUGGCGAAAGCGGCUCUCUGGCCUGUAACUGACACUGAGGCUCAAAAGCGUGGGGAGCAAACAGG